rnacentral:rRNA from 1 species
UACGAGGGGUGCAAGCGUUGCUCGGAAUUAUUGGGCGUAAAGGGUAGGUAGGUGGUCUCAUUUGUCCGGGGUGAAAGCCUUGAGCUUAACUCAAGAAGUGCCUCGGAAACGGUGAGACUGGAGUCCUGGAGAGGGUCGUGGAAUUCCCGGUGUAGUGGUGAAAUGCGUAGAUAUCCGGAGGAACACCAGUGGCGAAGGCAGCUCGCUGGGACGGUACUGACGCUGAGGCGCGAAAGCGUGGGGAGCAAACAGG